rnacentral:rRNA from 1 species
GGUGAGUCGGCCCCUAAGGCGAGGCGGAAACGCGUAGUCGAUGGGAAGCAGGUUAAUAUUCCUGCACCGCUCUUUACUGCGAUGGGGGGACGGAGAAGGCUAGGCCGGCGUGGCGAUGGUUGUCCACGUGAGAGGUUGUAGGCUGGGAUCUUAGGUAAAUCCGGGAUCCUAAGGCUGAGGACCAGGACGAGCACAAGGGGAGACCUGCGUGUGGAGUGGUUGAUGCCCUGCUUCCAGGAAAAGCCUCUAAGCUUCAGGUAAAGAGAGACCGUACUGUAAACCAACACAGGUGAUCAGGUAGAGAAUACCAAGGCGCUUGAGAGAACUCGGGUGAAGGAACUAGGCAAAAUGGUACCGUAACUUCGGGAGAAGGUACGCCGCUGACGGUGAAGGGCUUGCCCCGUAAGCUGUUGGUGGUCGAAGUGACCAGGUGGCUGCGACUGUUUACUAAAAACAUAGCACUCUGCAAACACGUAAGUGGACGUAUAGGGUGUGACGCCUGCCCGGUGCCGGAAGG